CCCUCCCCUAAAUCACUCCAAAAAAAACAACCUCAAUUCUACACAAGUGUUUCCUACACUAACAAAGCAACAGCUCCUUAACGAAUUCCCAACUUUACACGAGCUCGUCUCUCGAGGUUAAAUGUUAUUACUUGGUAAGAUUCGGACCUCGCCAAGUGUUUUGAAAACUCCGCAACGCUCGCAAAGGUGGAUAGUGAGAAUAAUAAGUGAAGAGACAGACUUGUCCAAAACGCCCACCACGAAGGUGCAUAGUGAGAAGAGUAAGUCAAGAGACAGACUUGUCCGAAAAAGAAAAAGAGAAAGCGUGGGGAGACGCUCACGAAGGUGCAUAGUGAGAAGAGUAAGUCAAGAGACAGACUUGUUCGAAAAAGAAACAGAAGAGAAUGCUUGGGGUUACACUCACGAAGGUGCAUAGUGAGAAGAGUAAGUCAAGAGACAGACUUGUUCGAAAAGAAACAAAAGAGAAUGCUUGGGGAGAUAGAAGUGUGAGAUAGUUCUCAAGCUAAGAAAGUUGUAAAAGCUAAGAACUAGCAUCAAAUGAUGGAUGAAACACAAGGUAGUUGUUGAAAAGUCAAACACUUGGUGAUAUGAACACAAACGUUCAAUAUGACAAACCCAUACAAGUAAAGAGAAAAUGAAAACUGGUGAUUGUUGCGGAAAUCGUCCAGGAUUCCUCAGCCAGGACUUGAAAUCGUCGAGGAAAAAAAAAUCGGUUCCGAGGAAUCGUCGAUCCGGACUUGGAAUCGUCGAGAAAAGUUUACCGGGUCCGAGGAUUUGUCGGA
rnacentral:misc_RNA from 1 species